rnacentral:lncRNA from 1 species
AUGCGUGGUAUCAAGAGGUGCAUUGAGGCGCUCCUGCAGCCUCCUCCCGGCACGGGACUCCUCACAACCCCCAGCCUCAGCUUCCCUGACAGGGCAGGGGCUCACUCUUCUCCACUCCGGGCCAGGAACGCAGCCUGCUUGCCUUUUGUCCAAUUGGGUGCUCUUUCUUUGCGACUGAUACAAAGUGGGAACAAACUCCGCUUCCGGUGAUGCCCGGGCCCCAGGAGGCUGGGGGAGAAGUGCACGCUGCCCAGCCUUCAACCUGAACUGCCCCCAGCACUUCCGAGCCCCGACCCCUGCAGCUGUGAGAACCUGCCCUCUGCCCUGGCACCCCAGGGACUCACUGCCAAAGACGCUCACUUUCUGGGAGACACAGACCCCAUCCAGGAAGGGGCACGAGACCACGCUGCAGGAGGCCCCUUCCAAGACCGCCAAGCAUCUGUAGCAGCGCAGACCCUGAGCUGGGAGAGAGGGCAAGAAAACACACCCCUGGUGGAGAUUUAAGAUGCUAAUGACACAUGCGACGUAUGAGCAAGCAGGUGCAGCUACUGCACGUGUGCACCCAGAGGACCCCCCCAGAACAUGCUUCCUAGCAACACCUCUGCCCACCCGCUGAUUCUCUCGGCACCACGGGAACCACCUUCUCUACUCUCACUGAACACCCCUGGGAUGUAUCUGUAAAAAUUGGAACACCUUUCGGCUAGAAACCAGAGGAAGCCGCUCAUGACACCCGGGAGCUCACAGAGGCUCUGAAGUUUCUAUUCAAGAAAACAACUCCAGAUGGGGCUGAUCUGGAAGACAAGUAACAUCUUCCUUUUCUUGGUGCUCGCCUGCCGUGCUCUAGGUGCUUUUAGAGAUGCUGGUCUGUGUGCUAGGGAAGCGAUGAACCAUACUGUUAGUCUAUUAAACAUAACUCAACCUGG